UAAGGAAUAUUGGGCAAUGGAGGAAACUCUGACCCAGCCAUGCCGCGUGCAGGAUGACAGCUCUAGUAGUUGUAAACUGCUUUUAUAUGGGAAGAAAAGCACCUACGUGUAGGUGUCUGACGGUACCAUAAGAAUAAGGACCGGCUAACUCCGUGCCAGCAGCCGCGGUAAUACGGAGGGUCCAAGCGUUAUCCGGAUUUAUUGGGUUUAAAGGGUGUGUAGGCGGAAAUAUAAGUCAGUGGUGAAAUCCUGCAGCUCAACUGCAGAACUGCCGCUGAUACUGUGUUUCUUGAGUAUAGUUGAAGUGGGCGGAAUGUGUCAUGUAGCGGUGAAAUGCAUAGAUAUGACACAGAACACCGAUUGCGAAGGCAGCUCACUAAACUAUUACUGACGCUGAGGCACGAAAGCGUGGGUAGCGAACAGG
rnacentral:rRNA from 1 species